rnacentral:misc_RNA from 1 species
GAAAAAAAAAAAAGAGAAGCAAGGUGAUGGCUGCAAAACCAAUUAGAUCAGUCGUAGAACAUUAUUAGCAAAUUAAGAUGAGAAAAUAACUAGAUGAAACAAGCACAUGCUGCACAUAAUUCCACUUUUUCUGUUAAUGUUUGUUAGAGUCAUGACUGUUGGUUCUCUCUUCGCAAAGUAUAAUUUACACGUGGUCAUAACCUGAAAAUACUUCUUCAGCCCCA